rnacentral:lncRNA from 1 species
UGAAUAUCCUGCCUGUUUCCUUUGACUGUGGCCACAGUCCAGACUCUUUUUGGAUAUCUGGUACUGGCUAGACUCCCAGGAUUGGAUCCCAGCCCAGGUCUAUCUUGUUGGUCGGUGGAAUACUCCUCUGAGAGAUUUUAUUUGGAAGUAGGAAAACUUCAGUGAGUAUCACAGCAGUUAGAUUUUCAAGUAUGGUCAGCAGAGUAUGCAGUUAGAAAACUGUACUUCUCAAAAUUUUUCCUAGAGUGAGAAAGUGACUGCCAGAAGUUCCACUGUCUAGAAUUUGCAGUUGGAGUUGAAAUGAGGAAUACACAGAACCAUCACAGAAAACAGAAACACAGUUGACCCUUGAAGAACACACAUUUUGAACUAUGGCCCAGUUACAAGUGGAUUUUUUCAGGAAAAUUACACCGUGUCUGUCUGCCUCUCCUGCCUCCUCUUCCACCUCCUCCACCUCUUCUGCCUCUGCCAACCCUGUGACAGCAAGAACAACCCCUCCACUUUUUCCUCCUCUUCAGCCCAUUCAAUGUGAAGAAAAGGAUGAAGAUCUUUACAAUGAUCAACUUCUAUUUAAUGAAAGGGUUCAUCUUCUGGCACUCUCUGUUGUCUGACGUCUGGAAGCAUUUGUUUCAUGUAUUUGUUGAUUUUCAAGUUCUUUCCAGUAGAAGUAAAAAGGUAAUUUUCACAUUAAUUAAAUUACCCCAUUAUGUAUGGAAAGCAGAAAUUCUCUUAUAAAAACAUAUUCAGUCAAUAAUGUUAUUUUGCUUAAACCUACAAAUGUAUACUAUUUUUAGGCAGCAAUAUUUUGAAAAUAACUACUUUGUAGUUCCAACAGUAUUAAUCAAUAAAUCAAGCAAGAAAGAAGCAUUUCAAAAAUAUUAGGUACUAAUUGAUUUAAUACCAUAUUUCACGAUCAAGAGUGUCCCCAUUUAAGUGAUAUAUUAUAUGGUUAUCCUAUUUUUAAGUCUGUUAAAAGUUGUUUCAAAUCUCCACUGUUGCAUACUUGCAUGUGAAAAUUACCAAUGUGGAUUGUGUUAAACUGACAACUCAAAUGUCACAAAGUCUCUGUCAUAUGUGUUUUAUGGAUUGCUUCAAUGGUUAAUAACUUUAGAUAAUGUCAUAGAAGUGAAAUACAGUAUCUUUUUGAUUAUAUGGUCAUAGGAAAAUAAAGAGUACAUAAAAACUUUAAAAUACUGGAUUUUUAUAUUUUAAAAACUCAGAUUCUAGGCUCUGUUUUUAUAAAUGGUUUUGUUGUUUCUGUUUUGUUCUGUUCUGUUUGAUUUACCUGAUAAUCUAGAUGGAUGUUCAAGAAUGGUAGGAUACUGGGCAAUUUUUACUUGGUGGUAUUCUUCUUUAUAAAAGAGAAACCUUAAACAGUUGUGGUUCCACCUAGUAAGUGUAUAAAAUUUCCCAAAUAUUAGGGAAAAAACAUAAAACAGCCUUUGAAAGUAAUACGAUUCCCUUUGAAAACUACCCAUAAUAUUGUGUGGGUUUUGUCUUACCCUCAGUGAGAUGGAGACUUACUAAGGGUAGUAAUGUAAGGAAGUGAAAAUGUGACAUAAGCAUGUUAGUAUUUUACUGGCUGUGUGUUGGAUUAGAAAUGAAGGUUUGUCAGAAUAAUGGUGGCAGGGAGAGAAGCAGACCAAUUAGGGCAUUAUUUCAGAAAUUUAAAUAUGAAGUUAUGAAUAUAGAUGUAACAUGUUUAAAUAUAUCAGCAGGGAGCAGAAGGAAAAACAACAGAGAAAUAAGCAUGUUUUCUAGGCUAAGAUUCCAAACUGCCCAAGGAGAAAAGUGAUGGUAAUAGAUAGAAGAAAUUGGAAAAAUAAGAGAAGAAAGGCAAGAAGGAAAAAACAGACUGAAUUUUUACUAGAUAUUAGAGGAAACUACCUACAUUCAUUUAAAAAACAGGACGACAAAUGCCAUAUUUUUGAAAUAGAAAAGAAAUAAUCUUCAGGAAUUAUAGUACAUUCUAAGAAAGCAAUGUUGUAGAAGGAUUUAGAUAAAUGUAGAAAAGUAAUUUGUAAAUUUAAAUAGUGGUAACAGUUGGAAUGUGGUUAAAAAGGACUAUUGCUGUUUUUGUGAUUAUUAAUAGCUGAUGUGCUUCCUACUUUCUUGUCAGUGAUACUGAGAAAAGUAGAUGGAAUAAUUCAAAAUUAAUUAACAGACUUCUCAGUUCCAAACCAAAUGUUCAUGUUUUUAGAAAUAAAGGUAUUGUAAAAACCUUGGGCUUCAUGUCAAAUGUUAUUAUGUAAUACGUAUUGAAUCACACAUAAUUUGAGAGCUUAAUCCAUUUUUUAACUUAUUAUAUAUUCCAAGUUGCUGAAUCAAGUGUAACAUUGUACUGAGAUUCAGAAAUUUCAUGGGAUGAACAAGAUGUGGCAACAAAAGAUGAAGACAUGAACCUCUAUCUAAUAAAGAUAAAUUAUUUUGGAGAAUAUUGCGUGACGAGUAAUGGAAACUAGAUUUCAAAUAUUUACUGACAAAGUGAUCAAUUAUUGUUAAGAAUCUGAAAUUGUUUUUUUUGAUAUGUACUGAAAUGUUUUAUUCAAAUGCUAUUUUCUAUUACUUACAAAUAGAAUCAAAAUUCUAAGAGGAGAAACUAUUAUCCACCACUGUUUACACCAGCAAGUUAUCCGGAAACCUACUCGGAACUCUGUGGGGUUGUUGUCCCUAACCGUGAGCUUCCUACUCAUGCAUCAUAGUUAGGUUUGAUGAUUGUGGGGCUUGCACUAUGUUCUUGAGGAUCCUUAUAAAAAAGACUCAACCUUUCAGGGCACAUCAAAUAAAGGCAUUCAAACACAAUGCCUGAAACUUCAACUCCAUUCCCAGAAAUAGGUCCCCUUGAAGAUCUAGAAAAAGAGGACUAUAAGGAGGAAAAGUAGAAAGUCUAGGAGGAGGAGGAAGAAAACUUAAAGAGCAGAAGGAUAAGAAGGAAGGGUUCAGGUCUUGAAAUAAGUAACAUGGACAAAGAAGCUGAAACUGCUGAAAAUUUAUCUGUUAGGAUACCCUAUCAAUAUAUUUUCUGUUGUGUAUCUCUUAAAUAGAUUCACAUCAACAUCUGAAAAAUAUAUAUUAAAAUAAUACCAACAUUAUAAAAGACAACAAUAACAGCUAACAUUUGUAUAGCAUGUUCUACGUGCUAGGCAGUGUUUAAUAAUUUUGACAAAUAUUAACACAUUGAAUCCUCACUUAAAACGAUUAAGUAUUUUCUUUAUUUAUACAUGAAUAAAUUAGGGUAUGGAGAGGGUGCCUUCAUGGGUAACCACUGAUUAUCAAUGAAUAUCUUUUGAACUAUCAAGCAGUGCUUUUUCAGGUACUUUUAAAGGUUUUAUUAAAAAAAAAAUCACACAAGCUCAUUUCAAGAGUUUAAUUUCUAUAGUAUUAUAGUACUUAAGUAUCCACAUUAAAUUUGAAAUCAUUAGAUUUGAAUCAAAUUCAUUUUCAAUUUCACACCAGGCGUUUAGCAAUAAUCUAUUAAUUUCAUUGUGUUCUUUUGUAAAAUGGAAAUAAUAUCUAUCUCAUAUGUUUUCUGAGGAUCAAUUUUGAUAUAUUUAGUAAGGAUAAUUGUUCAUCCCUUCCCAAAUUAAGAAGUUAAUACAUACAAAUUUUCAAAAUAGCCAAACGUUGCAUUCCAUUCCAUUGCUUCUCUUUGGUAUCAUAACAUGUAGAGAAAUAUUUUUUAGAAGGUCAAGUAAAUGUUUUAGUAAGAUGAAUAGUGAUGUGUGUGUAUUAUACGGGGGGGCCAUAUUCAUCAGAGCAACCAAAAAAUGUGAUGCUUUUAAAUAUAAUAGAAAUAUUUCAAAUUAUUUAUUAGCUUUGUGAUUUUAAUAAAGUAUGAGUUUAUAUUCUAAUUUUAAUGAUAUCUCUCAUCAAUUAUAUAUCUCUAUUCUCUAUUUUAUGACAUAAAUAUGGCUUUGUCUUUUCUUGUGUUUAUUCUAAGAACUCCUCUCAACUAGAUUAUCAAUAUUUGUGGGGAAAGAAUUAUGUUUGAUUUGCUUUGUAACCCCUUUUUUUUGUAAACUUUUGUAAACAAAAGUUUAAGGGAAUAUUUAUCCGGAGAAAAGGUAACUAUUUGGAAAUGUUUGUAUUAUUGUUUCUUUAAAAAGCCUAGACAAACAUGAUCUGGGUCAUGUUUAUUCUGCAAUCAAGAAGGAAAUAAGCACAUGAACCAGACAAGCAUCAAGGCUAUUUUUAUUAUCUAAAUAUAUUUAUAAACAAAUUAGAAAUAAUAAAUUUACAUUACUUUUACUAUUAAAUGGACUUUAAUAGUAAAAAGUGACCCACUUCAUG